AAUGGAGUAACGAUUUCCCUACUGUCUCCACCAUGAACUCGGUGAAAUUGCAUUACGAGUAAAGAUGCUCGUUACGCGCAGCAGGACGGAAAGACCCCGGGACCUUUACUAUAGUUUGGUAUUGGUGAUUGGGACGGUUUGUGUAGGAUAGGUGGGAGACGUUGAUGCGGCCACGCUAGUGGUGGUGGAGCCGACCUUGAAAUACA
rnacentral:rRNA from 1 species